rnacentral:misc_RNA from 1 species
GAAUUGCGAUAAGUAAUGUGAAUUGCAGAAUUACGUGAAUCAUCGAAUUUUUGAACGCAUAUUGCACUCUCUGGUAAUCCGGGGAGUAUGCCUGUUUGAGGGUCAGUAAAAAAUAAAACAUUAUCAUGUGAUCCUUAUAGGAUUUCAUGGAAUUGGAUUUUUCAAAGGUCUUUUUUUGUUCCUUUGAUGAUCUCAAAUUUAUGUUAUGGCUAAUUAUAUAGAUUGAACUAAAAAGAGCAAUUAUUUAUAAUACUCGAAUUUUAGUGACGUUUAUAGGCCAAAUAUGAUUUUUUGGUUAAUAAAAUACCAAAGUUCAUAAAUAAUUUUUAAAAUGACCUCAAAUCAGGUAAGAAUACCCGCUGAGUUUAA